GACGAACGCUGGCGGCGUAGCUUAACACAUGCAAGUCGACGAAGCUUGACGAUGAUUUCUUCGGAAUGAAUCUGAUAUGACUGAGUGGCGGACGGGUGAGUAACGCGUGAGCAACCUGCCCUUAGGUGAGGGAUAGUGUCUGGAAACGGACAGUAAUACCUCAUAACAUAUACUGAUGGCAUCUUCGGUAUAUCAAAGGUUUACUGCCUAAGGAUGGGCUCGCGUCUGAUUAGAUAGUUGGUGGGGUAACGGCCUACCAAGUCGACGAUCAGUAGCCGGACUGAGAGGUUGAACGGCCACAUUGGGACUGAGACACGGCCCAGACUCCUACGGGAGGCAGCAGUGGGGAAUAUUGCACAAUGGGGGAAACCCUGAUGCAGCAACGCCGCGUGGAGGAAGACGGUCUUCGGAUUGUAAACUCCUGUUUUUAGGGAAGAAGCAAGUGACGGUACCUAAGGAGCAAGCCACGGCUAACUACGUGCC
rnacentral:rRNA from 1 species